UGAACGCUAGCUACAGGCUUAACACAUGCAAGUCGAGGGGCAUCAGGAAGAAAGCUUGCUUUCUUUGCCGGCGACCGGCGCACGGGUGAGUAACACGUAUCCAACCUGCCCUUUACUCGGGGAUAGCCUUUCGAAAGAAAGAUUAAUACCCGAUAGUAUAAUGAUUCCGCAUGGUUUCAUUAUUAAAGGAUUCCGGUAAAGGAUGGGGAUGCGUUCCAUUAGGUUGUUGGUGAGGUAACGGCUCACCAAGCCUUCGAUGGAUAGGGGUUCUGAGAGGAAGGUCCCCCACAUUGGAACUGAGACACGGUCCAAACUCCUACGGGAGGCAGCAGUGAGGAAUAUUGGUCAAUGGGCGCUAGCCUGAACCAGCCAAGUAGCGUGAAGGAUGAAGGCUCUAUGGGUCGUAAACUUCUUUUAUAUAAGAAUAAAGUGCAGUAUGUAUACUGUUUUGUAUGUAUUAUAUGAAUAAGGAUCGGCUAACUCCGUGCCAGCAGCCGCGGUAAUACGGAGGAUCCGAGCGUUAUCCGGAUUUAUUGGGUUUAAAGGGAGCGUAGGUGGACUGGUAAGUCAGUUGUGAAAGUUUGCGGCUCAACCGUAAAAUUGCAGUUGAUACUGUCAGUCUUGAGUACAGUAGAGGUGGGCGGAAUUCGUGGUGUAGCGGUGAAAUGCUUAGAUAUCACGAAGAACUCCGAUUGCGAAGGCAGCUCACUGGACUGCAACUGACACUGAUGCUCGAAAGUGUGGGUAUCAAACAGGAUUAGAUACCCUGGUAGUCCACACAGUAAACGAUGAAUACUCGCUGUUUGCGAUAUACAGUAAGCGGCCAAGCGAAAGCAUUAAGUAUUCCACCUGGGGAGUACGCCGGCAACGGUGAAACUCAAAGGAAUUGACGGGGGCCCGCACAAGCGGAGGAACAUGUGGUUUAAUUCGAUGAUACGCGAGGAACCUUACCCGGGCUUAAAUUGCAGUGGAAUGAUGUGGAAACAUGUCAGUGAGCAAUCACCGCUGUGAAGGUGCUGCAUGGUUGUCGUCAGCUCGUGCCGUGAGGUGUCGGCUUAAGUGCCAUAACGAGCGCAACCCUUAUCUUCAGUUACUAACAGGUCAUGCUGAGGACUCUGGAGAGACUGCCGUCGUAAGAUGUGAGGAAGGUGGGGAUGACGUCAAAUCAGCACGGCCCUUACGUCCGGGGCUACACACGUGUUACAAUGGGGGGUACAGAAGGCAGCUAGCGGGUGACCGUAUGCUAAUCCCAAAAUCCUCUCUCAGUUCGGAUCGAAGUCUGCAACCCGACUUCGUGAAGCUGGAUUCGCUAGUAAUCGCGCAUCAGCCACGGCGCGGUGAAUACGUUCCCGGGCCUUGUACACACCGCCCGUCAAGCCAUGGGAGCCGGGGGUACCUGAAGUACGUAACCGCAAGGAUCGUCCUAGGGUAAAACUGGUGACUGGGGCU
rnacentral:rRNA from 1 species